rnacentral:misc_RNA from 1 species
UAGAGGUUUAUCCCCUAAUACCCAUGUGAACUUACCACUGUUGCUUCGGCGGUACGCCCCAGGCGCCGUUCGCGUGCCCUGGAAUCAGGCCGCCGCCGGAGACCCCAAACUCCAGUUUUUUGUUGGACUUCUGAGUUGAUUAUACAAAUGAAUCA